GACGCCGCGUGGGGGAUGAAGGGCUUCGGUUCGUAAACCCCUGUCAUUUGUGAACAAACCCCGGGUAUGAAUAGUGCCCGGGCUGAUAGUAGCAAAAAGAGGAAGGGACGGCUAACUCUGUGCCAGCCACCUCGGUGACUGAGCGGGCUGGCAAGGCGCAUA
rnacentral:rRNA from 1 species